rnacentral:rRNA from 1 species
CUACGGGCGGCGGCAGUGAGGAAUAUUGCACAAUGGGGGGAACCCUGAUGCAGCAACGCCGCGUGGAGGAUGACGCAUUUCGGUGUGUAAACUCCUUUUAUAUGUCAAGAAAAUGACGGUAGCAUAUGAAUAAGCACCGGCUAACUCCGUGCCAGCAGCCGCGGUAAUACGGAGUGGUGCAAGCGUUACUCGGAAUCCCUGGGCGUAAAGAACGCGUAGGCGGGUUGGAAAGUCAGGUGUGAAAUCCUACAGCUUAACUGUAGAACUGCACUUGAAACUUCUAAUCUAGAGUAUGGGAGGGGGAGAUGGAAUUAGUGGUGUAGGGGUAAAAUCCGUAGAUAUCACUAGGAAUACCUAAAGCGAAGGCGAUCUCCUGGAACAUUACUGACGCUAAGGCGUGAAAGCGUGGGGAGCAAACAGGAUUAGAUACCCCGGUAGUC